GGUUAGGAAGCGACGUUAGGAGGUCACGAUCUGACUGUUGGACUGUGACCUUCUGUGUCCGUCUCCAGGAGAAAUGCUGAGACUGUUGGUGAAGCAGAGACUCCAGGCGGCUUCUGAACACACUCUGGGGCUGAUUGACAGAUUCACAGCAGAUUAUGAGGAGGAAGUUUCUCGUUUGAGGGAAAAUGAGCGACGACACAAACUCCUGGAGGCCGUGUUCAACCCUCGAGUUCAGCUGCACAGAUCAGCAUCCGCUUCAAAACAUUGGUUCUGGCGUACCGUGCUCUGAACGGAUCGGGCCCCGUCUACAUCCUGGAUGUGGUCACACCGUACACCCAGACACGUUCGCUCCGCUCGGCAACAGCCAACCGACUUGUGACUCCUGCCCUUCGAGCUCAUCACUCUACAUCCAGACUGUUUGCUGUCCUGGCUCCUGAUUGGUGGAACGAGCUCCCCACUGACAUCAGGACAGCAGGAAGUCUCUACAGCUUCUGCCAGAAACUAAAAACACAUCUUUUCCGAUUAUAUCUGGAUUAAAACACAGAUUAGCACUUCA